UACGUAGGGUGCAAGCGUUGUCCGGAAUUAUUGGGCGUAAAGAGCUCGUAGGCGGUCUGUCGCGUCGGCUGUGAAAACCUGGGGCUCAACUCCGGGCCUGCAGCCGAUACGGGCAGACUAGAAUUCGGUAGGGGAGACUGGAAUUCCUGGUGUAGCGGUGAAAUGCGCAGAUAUCAGGAGGAACACCGGUGGCGAAGGCGGGUCUCUGGGCCGAGAUUGACGCUGAGGAGCGAAAGCGUGGGGAGCGAACAGG
rnacentral:rRNA from 1 species